UAAAGCGUGCGCAGGCGGUUUUGUAAGUCUGAUGUGAAAUCCCCGGGCUCAACCUGGGAAUUGCAUUGGAGACUGCAAGGCUAGAAUCUGGCAGAGGGGGUAGAAUUCCACGUGUAGCAGUGAAAUGCGUAGAUAUGUGGAGGAACACCGAUGGCGAAGGCAGCCCCCUGGGUCAAGAUUGACGCUCAUGCACGAAAGCGUGGGGAGCAAACAGGAUUAGAUACCCGAGU
rnacentral:rRNA from 1 species